rnacentral:rRNA from 1 species
GCGGGCCCUACACAUUGCAAGUUCGAGCGGUAGCACAGAGAGCUUGCUCUCGGGUGACGAGCGGCGGACGGGUGAGUAAUGUCUGGGAAACUGCCUGAUGGAGGGGGAUAACUACUGGAAACGGUAGCUAAUACCGCAUAAUGUCGCAAGACCAAAGUGGGGGACCUUCGGGCCUCAUGCCAUCAGAUGUGCCCAGAUGGGAUUAGCUAGUAGGUGGGGUAACGGCUCACCUAGGCGACGAUCCCUAGCUGGUCUGAGAGGAUGACCAGCCACACUGGAACUGAGACACGGUCCAGACUCCUACGGGAGGCAGCAGUGGGGAAUAUUGCACAAUGGGCGCAAGCCUGAUGCAGCCAUGCCGCGUGUGUGAAGAAGGCCUUCGGGUUGUAAAGCA